UACGUAGGGUGCAAGCGUUGUCCGGAAUUAUUGGGCGUAAAGAGCUCGUAGGCGGUUUGUCGCGUCGACUGUGAAAACCCGAGGCUUAACCUCGGGCCUGCAGUCGAUACGGGCAGACUAGAGUUCGGUAGGGGAGACUGGAAUUCCUGGUGUAGCGGUGAAAUGCGUAGAUAUCGGGAGGAACACCAGUGGCGAAGGCGGUUGCCUGGGGCUUUGCUGACGCUGAUGCGCGAAAGCGUGGGGAGCGAUCCGG
rnacentral:rRNA from 1 species